CCUCAACUCAAAGCUCCCCAAAAACCCGGAAGCCGCGCCGCGAGCUCGCCUAGGGUUUUAAAACCCAUCUCCCCUCCCUCCCCCGUUCCGCCGACCACCUGCUCCGCCACCUCUCCUCCUAGGGUUCCGGCGAGCGACCUCCACCCCGGCCAUGCCGCCGCCGCCCCCGCCGCGCGAGCUCCUGGCCGUCGUCGAGGCGGCGCUGCUCGGGCCAUCCCCGCCGUCGCCGGCGCAGCGCGUGGAGCUCCUCCACGCCGUCCGCGAUGCCGCCCCCGCAUUCCGCGCGCUCCUCUCCUACCCGGGGCCGAAGGCGUCGGAUCGGACUCAGGUGGAGGCCAAGGAAGUGCGGCUCCCGGACAUGCCUCCCAUAACGCUCGAUGACACCGACGUGCAGACGGCCCUGAAAUUGAGUGAUGAACUCAAUCUUAAUGAGAUUGAGUGUGUUCGAUUGCUAGUUGACGCCAACAGGGAGUGGGUUCUAUAUGGCCGAGAGCCACUGGAAAUAUAUAGGCUCGCAGCUGGCCUUUGGUACAUGGAGAGAAGGGAUCUUAUAACCUCUUUGUACAUUCUGUUACGGUCUGUUGUACUUGACCAAGGGCUUGAUGCUGAUCUGAUGUAUGAAAUACAAAACCAAAUGGAGGCUCUAUUUAUUGAGGGUCUCGGGCAGCGUAUAAUUACACUAGUAAAGGAACUUAAUCGUGAAGAAUCAACUGGUGUUGGCCAACCAAGCUCUGAGCAUUAUGUGCUUGAUUUCAGAGGGGCUCUUGUGGAGAGGCGUGCCAUUGUUUCUCGCGAGAGAUUAAGUUUGAGCCACUGCCUUGCUCUUUCUGCACUUAUUAAAUUGAUGAGUCCCAGGGAGGUUAAGGAUGUAUUUUCAUUGUUAAAAGACUGUGCAGCUGAAGUUAAUGAAAAUUCUAGCGUGGAGCUUCAGAUCACCUAUGGCGUUCUUUUUUCUCUUGUAGUAACUUUUGUUUCUGAUGCCUUAAGUACUUCCCAUGAGAAACCAUCUUUGUCAUCUUCCGAUUCUUCGUUCAGGCGUGAUUUUCAUGAGCUGGUGAUGAGGUCAGAUAACAAUUUGACUAUUGAAGGAUUUGUUGGUGUUGUGCGACUUGCAUGGGCAGUUCAUUUGAUGUUAACUCAAGAUCGAAGCAGUGCAAGAGAUACUCUCACUAGUUCUUCGAGAGAUGUGACAGAUAUAUGGGCAUGUCUGGAGAUAAUCUGUCGCCAGAAUAGUUUUCAAUUUUUGCAGGAACGUAUUAUGCAAACAGCUGCCUACAAGAAUGACGAUGAGGACAUUGUUUACAUGUACACUGGCUACAUGCACAAGUUGAUGAUGUGCUUUCUUUCCCAUCCAACUUCUAGAGACAAGAUAAAGGAAAUAAAGGAAAAAACAAUGAAUGCCCUCAGUCCAUAUGGGUCAAUAAGAGAUCAUAGAGAAGACCCUAGCAGAACUGGAGAACAAAUUGGCCAGCCUACCAAUCAGCCUUUCAUAUCUCUCCUGGAAUUAGUUAGAGAAAUAUACCAGAAAGAACCUGAGCUAGUGCAUGGAAACGAGGAACUUUGGACCUUUGUCAUAUCUGCAGGAGAAGAUCACACCAAUACACUAACUCUUGUGGCAUUCCUUGGACUUCUUAGUACUUUGGCUUCCAGUGAAGUUGGUGCUGCCAAAGUCUACGAACUGCUCCAGGGAAAAGUUUACCGUUCACUUGGUUGGAGCACUUUGUUUGAUUGCUUAUCUAUUUAUGAAGAAAAGUUCAAAGAAUCCCUUCAAUCUUCUGCAAGCGUGAUGCCUGAGUUUCCUGAAGCGGAUGCACAGGCACUUGUUUCGUAUUUAGCUGUUCUCCAGAAGGUUGUUGAAAAUGGGAAUACUACUGAAAGAAGGAAAUGGUUCCCUGAUAUUGAGCCUUUGUUUAAGCUCCUCAGCUAUGAAAAUGUACCACCAUUUUUGAAGGGGGCUUUGAGGAAUUCGAUCACUGCAUUUAUCAAAGUAUCACCGCUGUUGAAGGAUGCUAUUUGGAGUUAUCUUGAACAAUAUGAUCUUCCGGUGGUUACGCCUCCACUUGGUCAGCAUAAUGCAACACAGAUCUAUGACAUGAGGUUUGAGUUGAAUGAAGUUGAAGCAAUGAGGGAGAGUUAUCCAUCCACAAUAUCAUUUCUCAACUUAGUCAAUGCUCUAAUUGCAGAAGAAAGAAACAUAAGUGACAAGGGCCGGAGGUUUAUGGGUAUAUUUAAGUUUGUUUACGAAGAUGUAUUUGGGCCUUUCCCUCAAAGAGCCUAUGCCGAUCCUCGGGAGAAGUGGGAACUGGCAGUUGCUUGCUUGGAGCACUUCCGCAUGGUUUUAAGCAUGUAUGACAUCAAGGAUGAUGAUAUUUAUGCUGCUGUUAACGCAUCUGGACCUUCAACAACAUCUCAUGCCUCAAUCGACAGACAGCUCCCUGUGCUUGAGCUACUCAAAGAUUUCAUGAGUGGGAAAGUUGCUUUCCGGAAUAUUAUGAACAUCGUAUCAGUGGGUGUGGACACUCUUAUUAAUGAGCGAACUACCCAAACUUAUGGGAUUCUUCUGGAGAAAACUGUCCAUCUAUCAUUUGAAAUAUUUAUUCUUGUGAUGGAGAGAGAUCUGGUGCUUGCUGAUGUUUUCCGUCCACUCUACCAGCCGUUGGAUGUUGUGUUAGCUCAGAAUCAUAGACAUAUUAUAGCUUUACUGGAGUUUGUACGAUAUGAUUAUCUUCCUCAGAUUCAACAGUGCUCUAUAAAAAUUAUGGGAAUUCUGAGUUCUAGAAUAGUUGGUCUUGUCCAGUUGCUUCUGAAAGCAGAUGUUGCUAAAUCGGUAAUUGAGGAUUAUGCUGCUUGCUUGGAGUUCCGCUUUGAUGAUUUCCAGGCCAUAGAGAACACAAAAGAUGACGUUGGUGUCCUAAUACUACAGCUACUUAUCGACAAUAUUUGUCGUCCAGCUCCCAACAUUACACAUCUACUCCUAAGAUUCGAUGUCAAUGGAUCCAUAGAACGGACAGUUUUAAAACCAAAGUCACACUACAGUUGUUUAAAGACAAUUCUUGACAAUCUUGAAAAGGUGACAAAGCCAGAUAUAAAUGCUUUACUGCAUGAAUUCGGUUUUCAGCUUCUCUACGAGUUAUGCCUUGACCCUUUAACUUGUGGGCCUGUCAUGGAUCUCCUGAGCACAACAAAAUACCAGUUCUUUUCUAAGCAUGUUGGAACCAUUGGUGUGUCACCACUUCCGAGAAGGAACAACAAUCAAUCUCUUCGUAUUAGCAUGCUCCAUGAGAGGGCAUGGUUGCUAAAGAUGCUAGCAUUGGCAUUGCAUGUAUCUGAUAUAUCAUCGUCCUUAUACCGGGAGUCCUGUUUGGCUAUUCUAUGUCAUACUUUUGGCCAUUGUGCUGAGAACUUAAGGAGUGCAAACCUGUUACAAUCUCCUGGCAGUAGCAAUUUAGCAAUGAAUGGAAACAAGGUUUUGGAUUUGCUUGAAGUUGUCCAGUUCAGAUGUCCGGACACUUCCAUUAAAUACCCCCAGAUGCUUUCUAACCUGAGACUUGAAUCAAAGAUUGAAGAGAUCCUAAGGAAUUCCGCGACAUCUGAAUUUGGUGGUGUAUAUUAUUAUUCAGAGCGAGGCGAUAGAUUGAUUGAUCUUGAUGCAUUUCAUGAAAAACUUCUCCAGAUGUCUCAGUUAUUGAACCCACAAUUAAGUGAAUCUGAGAAAAGCGAGCUAAAAGAAUCAUUCCAUCAGAUGCUGAAAUGGGCCUGGAGAUAUAACAAAAAUCUUGAAGAACAAGCAGCCCAGCUUCACAUGUUGACUGGCUGGUCUCAAAUUGUUGAAAUAGCAGUAUCUAGAAGGAUGUCAUUACUUGAAGAUCGUUCUCAUUUAUUGUUUGAGCUCCUUGACGCUUCAUUAAGUGCCACAACAUCUCCAGAUUGUUCAGUGAAAAUGGCAUAUAUUUUAACCAAUGUGGCAUUGACUUGUAUGGCGAAACUGCGGGAUGAAAGAUUCAUAUGCCCAACCGGUGCCGAUUCUGAUGCAGUUACUUGCCUUGACAUCAUUUCAGCAAAGCAGUUGUCAAAUGCAGCCUGCACUUCAUUAUUGUUCAAACUCACGAUGGCAAUACUAAGAAAUGAAUCUUCUGAGACCUUGAGAAGACGCCAAUAUGCAUUACUGUUAAGUUAUUUUCAGUACUGCCGUAGCACCCUUGACUCUGAUGUCCCUCCACCAGUUCUUCGGUUCUUACUACUUGAAGAACAAGAGGGAGAUGAUGAUGAACUUGGUCUUCAAAAGGUUCUCAAGGAACAAAAUGAAUUAGCACGCAGCAACUUCUCUAUCAUAAGGAAGGAAGCUCAAGCAGUUAUUGAUUUGGUUGCCAAGGAUGCGAUCCAUGGAAGUGAAGCAGGGAAAGCAAUUUCAUUCUACGUUCUUGAUUCACUGAUUAGUAUUGACCAUGACAAGUAUUUUUUGAACCAAAUUCAGAGUCGAGGAAUUCUCAGAUCAUGUCUAAGUGAUGUUAACAACUACUUGUCUAAGGAAGCAUCAUUCUCAUCAGAGUCUUCACAGCGAUUUUGCACUAUUGAUGCUCAAUUGUCAUUACUUCUGAGAAUCAGUCACCACUAUGGGAAACAUGGCUCCCAGAUUCUGUUGUCCAUGGGUGCUCUACAUAAUCUUUCGUCGUGCAACCUGAUGGGUUCGCAGAAAAAGGCAAAUUCAAGGCUCAACUCCAAUGUAGUGAAAGAGCGAGCUGGAGAAAUUGACAAGAGGAGAUCACUUACUGCACCGAUACUUAGAAUAGUCACAUCUUUCACCUCACUUGUGGACUCCGCUGAUUUUCUUGAGGUGAAGAACAAAAUUGUCCGGGAGUUAGUAGACUUCGCCAAGCAGCAUCAGCCUGUUUUUAAUAUCAUUUUAAGAGAGAGUAUAUCUGGAGCUAAUAUAUUCAACUUGGAGCGGCUUAAUAUGGUGGUCUCUAUUCUUGGCAAGGUAUGGGCAUAUGAGGAAAAUGAUGAAUGCAGCUUUGUCCAAGAUCUAUUUUCCAUGAUGCAAUUUCUUUUCAGUCUUGAUAUUGGGUCUCUCAACUUUAUGCAAUCAUCAAACAUGAUUGAGAAUCAGAAGUCAGAAUUGAUAGUGUUUGCCUUGUGCUUCAGCCUUAUCUCCUACCUAUAUGUUCUGGCUACAAAGAAGGAUAUGCGGUUUCAAAUUUCGUAUGAUGAUACUACUGAAGGUCAGCAGCAACCAACACUACAACUGAUUUCAGAUCUUCUAAACUCAAUAACAGUUGCUAUGGAAAGAGUAGCUGAAGAAAAAUAUAUGUUGCUAAAUAAGAUUCGUGACUUAAAUGAGUUAUCUAGGAAGGAGGUUGAUGAUAUAAUAAAAUUAUGCAUGAAACAAGAUUGUAUCUCUCCCAACGAUAACAUCCGUAAAAGGAGGUUCAUUGCAAUGAUAGAAUUGUGUUGCAUGGCCGGCAACCGAGGCCAGCUCAUAACCCUUCUACUCCAAAUCGCAGAAUGCGCUGUCACUAUUCUCCUUGUUCAUUUUCAAGACGAGUCUUGUGCAAAAGAUAUUUCUUCAUUUUCUGAUGAGUUGCUUCCUAUCCUGGAGAGGCUAGAGCAUUUUACGGAGGACAAGGUCGGGCGUAGCCUCAAGCUAUUUCACCGAUCUGUAACCACUCUAAAAGAGAUGACCAUCAGAAGCAUGUCAUUGUGAUUUGUGAAGAACGACUGAAAGAUGUAUACGAUGUAACUGUUUUUUGUAGCAUAGAUUUCAAGCUGUAGAGCCCUGUUGUUGUAUAAGGUUACAACUGAAAUAUAAUGUUACUUGGAUGAUACUGCUUUAGCCAGAUGCAAGUUUCCAUCUUUUGAAGCUAACAAGUACGGUUUAUCAUCAUGCGCCUGAGAAACCUAUAAAAUAUAGAAUAUUUGAGUUCUAUCUGCUCCAUAAGGAAAAAUCUACAACGACAUGAUCCCUAAAUCAUCAACUUGACAACUCUGCGGGUGCAAAGAUUAAAUUGCCAGCUCCAAAACACCAAACAAGAGGAACCAGCAUCUCAUUCUCUUUUUUUUAAUCAGCAAAGUGUGAAUCUGUGACGUAAAUGUAGGAACCACAAGCCACACCAACCAAUUUCUGACCAAAUUGUCUCAGUGCAUCGUAAAUGUACUCGUGCAGCAUUGUACAAUGCAUGAUAAAAAAAAGAAUUGCCUAGUUUCA